UGGCGGACGGGUGAGUAAUGUCUGGGAAACUGCCCGAUGGAGGGGGAUAACUACUGGAAACGGUAGCUAAUACCGCAUAACGUCGCAAGACCAAAGAGGGGACCUUCGGGCCUCUUGCCAUCGGAUGUGCCCAGAUGGGAUUAGCUAGUAGGUGGGUAACGGCUCACCUAGGCGACGAUCCCUAGCUGGUCUGAGAGGAUGACCAGCCACACUGGAACUGAGACACGGUCCAG
rnacentral:rRNA from 1 species